UAUUGGUCAUUACUUGAAUACCUUGACUAAGCAGGGGAAUUGGUCUACAGAAAAAUUCAAACAAAUAAGAAAAAAAGCAUAUGGAUUUUUAUUUCGAGAUGGAUUCUUAUGGAAGAGACCGAAGAAAGGAAUUGGGAUGCCACAACGAGUGAUAGGCAAAAAGGAAGAAAAACUAAAAUUAUUAAAGGAGUUUCAUGAUAGUUUAUGGACAGGGCAUA
rnacentral:lncRNA from 1 species